rnacentral:rRNA from 1 species
GACGAACGCUGGCGGCGUGCUUAACACAUGCAAGUCGAACGGAAAGGCCCUGCUUUUGUGGGGUGCUCGAGUGGCGAACGGGUGAGUAACACGUGAUUAACCUGCCCUUGACUUUGGGUUAACUUCAGGAAACUGGGGCUAAUACCGGAUAGGAGCUCCUGCUGCAUGGUGGGGGUUGGAAAGUUUCGGCGGUUGGGGAUGGACUCGCGGCUUAUCAGCUUGUUGGUGGGGUAGUGGCUUACCAAGGCUUUGACGGGUAGCCGGCCUGAGAGGGUGACCGGCCACAUUGGGACUGAGAUACGGCCCAGACUCCUACGGGAGGCAGCAGUGGGGAAUAUUGCACAAUGGGCGGAAGCCUGAUGCAGCAACGCCGCGUGCGGGAUGACGGCCUUCGGGUUGUAAACCGCUUUCGCCUGUGACGAAGCGUGAGUGACGGUAAUGGGUAAAGAAGCACCGGCUAACUACGUG